UACGUAGGGCGCGAGCGUUGUCCGGAAUUAUUGGGCGUAAAGAGCUCGUAGGUGGCUUGUUGCGUCUGCCGUGAAAGCCCGUGGCUUAACUACGGGUCUGCGGUGGAUACGGGCAGGCUAGAGGCUGGUAGGGGCAAGCGGAAUUCCUGGUGUAGCGGUGAAAUGCGCAGAUAUCAGGAGGAACACCGGUGGCGAAGGCGGCUUGCUGGGCCAGUUCUGACGCUGAGACGCGAAAGCGUGGGGAGCGAACCGG
rnacentral:rRNA from 1 species